rnacentral:tRNA from 1 species
GCCCCUAUAGUUCAACUGGACAGAACAAGAGACUCCUAAGCUCUUGAUCGAGGUUCGAGUCCUCGUAGGGGCA